rnacentral:rRNA from 1 species
CAGUCGCCGCGGUAAUACGAGGGGGGCAAGCGUUGUUCGGAAUUAUUGGGCGUAAAGGGUGCGUAGGCGGUUUGGCAAGUUCGGUGUGAAAUCUUCGGGCUCAACUCGAAGUCUGCAUCGAAAACUGCCGGGCUUGAGUAUGGGAGAGGUGAGUGGAAUUUCCGGUGUAGCGGUGAAAUGCGUAGAUAUCGGAAGGAACACCUGUGGCGAAAGCGGCUCACUGGACCAUAACUGACGCUGAUGCACGAAAGCUAGGGGAGCAAACAGGAUUAGAUACCCCAGUAGUCCCUGUCUCUUAUAC